rnacentral:tRNA from 1 species
UGGGGUGUAGCUCAGUGGUAGAGUGCUUGCCUAGAAUCCAUGAGGCCCUGGGUUCCAUUCCCAGAACCACAA